AAAAGAAGAAGAAGAAGAAGAAGAAGAAGAAGAAGAAGAAGUUCUUCUUCUUCUUCUUCUUCUUCUUCUUCUUCUUCUUCUUCUUCUUUU
rnacentral:miRNA from 1 species